rnacentral:lncRNA from 1 species
UGAGCUUGGUCUUGUAGAUUAUAUCUGAAGCAACGCCCAACCAACGGUGUCUGCUCAACAUGCAGCGAAGACGAGAAAGAAAUCAAGAACCGCUCGACAUAAUCAGGAUUUACGGUGAACGCAUCCAGAUUACAAAGGUUACGUUACACUUGAAGAAAAAAAAGGUAGAAACCUCUGAUCUUAAGCUUCGCGACGCCGCCGGCUUGCCGCGCUGCUUCUUUCUUCCUUUUUAUUGAUCUCGUCCCGACCGAGUGACUGGGUCUCCAGAUUAAUACCACCCAGAUCAGAUGACCAAGAACACAAACUGCGAACGGCAAGGCGCCGGAACCCAAAAGCUACCCAGGACCAGGAGGAUAUAUUUGACUGACCAGCAGGACAGGAGAAAGAAAAACAGAGCUGGAAUCCAGCAGAAGAGUUGUGCAAGAAGAACCAACGCCAAAAAGCGCAGAGGACUAAAUGGCGACCUGCCCUGCCCUGCCCAGCUGCCCUGCUGCGCAACGGAAGCCGGGCGCGCGCGCGCAGGUGCGCUUGUGGAGACCCGGACGGGGAGGGGGACGGGCGGUGUCCCCCGCUUUUGGCAGCGUAGGG